CCUGUAUGCGAUGUUAUAUAUC
rnacentral:miRNA from 1 species